rfam:Ipomoea nil DNA, scaffold: scaffold2283, cultivar: Tokyo-kokei standard.
AGGGGUGUAGCUCAUAUGGUUGAGCGCUCACUUCGCAUGUGAGAGGCACGGGGUUCAAUCCCCUGCACCCUCC